rnacentral:snRNA from 1 species
AUACUUACCUGGUAGGGGAGAUACCGUGAUCAAGAAGCUGGUUCACCCAGAGCGAGGCUCAAACGUUGCUGUGCUCCUCCGUAUGGGUCCGAGUCUGUACGAAGAGCAACUUUAUCUACAGAAUCUACGACUCAACGUGGCAUUUUUGGGAUUUGAUCCCCUCUCGUG